AAUGAACGCUGGCGGCGUGCUUAACACAUGCAAGUCGAACGAUGAAGUUUCUAGCUUGCUAGAGACGGAUUAGUGGCGCACGGGUGAGUAAUGCAUAGGUAACGUGCCCCUUAGUCUGGGAUAGCCACUGGAAACGGUGAAUAAUACCGGAUACUCCUUCUAGCUUAAUGUUAGUCGGGAAAGUUUUUCGCUAAGGGAUCGGCCUAUGUUGUAUCAGGUAGUUGGUGAGGUAAUGGCUCACCAAGCCUAUGACACAUAGCGGGUCUGAGAGGAUGAUCCGCCACACUGGUACUGAGACACGGACCAGACUCCUACGGGAGGCAGCAGUGGGGAAUAUUGCACAAUGGGCGAAAGCCUGAUGCAGCAACGCCGCGUGGAG
rnacentral:rRNA from 1 species